rnacentral:rRNA from 1 species
GUGCCAGCAGCCGCGGUAACACGUACUGUGCGAACGUUAUUCGGAAUCACUGGGCUUAAAGGGUGCGUAGGCGGCCAUUUAAGUAGGGUGUGAAAUCCCCCGGCUCAACCGGGGAAUGGCGCUCUAAACUGGAUGGCUGGAGUGAGAUAGGGGUGUGUGGAACUUCCAGUGGAGCGGUGAAAUGUGUUGAUAUUGGAAGGAACGCCGUUGGCGAAAGCGGCACACUGGGUCUCAACUGACGCUGAGGCACGAAAGCUAGGGGAGCGAACGGGAUUAGAUACCCGUGUAGUCC